UACAGGGGGUGCAAACGUUGCUCGGAAUCAUUGGGCGUAAAGCGCACGUAGGCGGUUCGUUAUGUCGGAUGUGAAAGCCCUUGGCUUAACCGAGGAAGUGCAUCCGAAACUGGCGAGCUAGAGUACUAAAGAGGAUCGCGGAAUUCCCGGUGUAGAGGUGAAAUUCGUAGAUAUCGGGAGGAACACCGGUGGCGAAGGCGGCGAUCUGGGUUGAUACUGACGCUGAGGUGCGAAAGCGUGGGGAGCAAACAGG
rnacentral:rRNA from 1 species